GAUGAACGCUGGCGGCGUGCUUAACACAUGCAAGUCGAACGAUGAAGCCCAGCUUGCUGGGUGGAUUAGUGGCGAACGGGUGAGUAACACGUGAGUAACCUGCCCUUGACUCUGGGAUAAGCCCGGGAAACUGGGUCUAAUACCGGAUAGGAGCGCCUGUCGCAUGACGGGUGUUGGAAAGAUUUUUCGGUCAUGGAUGGACUCGCGGCCUAUCAGCUUGUUGGUGGGGUAAUGGCUCACCAAGGCGACGACGGGUAGCCGGCCUGAGAGGGUGACCGGCCACACUGGGACUGAGACACGGCCCAGACUCCUACGGGAGGCAGCAGUGGGGAAUAUUGCACAAUGGGCGGAAGCCUGAUGCAGCGACGCCGCGUGAGGGAUGACGGCCUUUGGGUUGUAAACCUCUUUCAGUAGGGAAGAAGCGAAAGUGACGGUACCUGCAGAAGAAGCACCGGCUAACUACGUG
rnacentral:rRNA from 1 species